ACCAAAAGAUGUCAAACCAAAUCCAGCCUAUUGUAAAGCUCUGGGACCUCCCUUCCAAGGACACCGAACACAAGCAUAGACACCGUUGCGAAAAGCUGUCCAAAAGCGCCUGGUCGGACAGAAACGGUUGCCGUGCAGGGAGUGUCAGCCACGUCUAGCGCACAGUCCCAGGCCCCAGGGCGAAGGCGGCCAGGGGAAAUGGGGCUCAGGGAUUGCUAAGCAAACGCAUCAUUGGUGGUCUCCAGCGCCUGCGGAGAUGGAGUUUCGCCCUUAUUGCGCAGGCUGGAGUGCAAUG